rnacentral:misc_RNA from 1 species
UCCGGUUUAACACCGGCAGUCUCGUUAGAGUGCCCGACUUGACUCGCUGGCAACUAACGAUAAGGGUUUCGCUCGUUAUGGGACUUAACCCGACACUUCACAGCACGAGCUGACGACAGCCAUGCAGCACCUGUGAUGGUUCCGGAUUGGAUACCGGUCAUAGACGUUUCCGCUUCUUACUUCCACCAUGUCAAAUCCAGGAUAAGGUUCUUCGCGUUGCUUCGAAUUGAGCCACAUGCUCCACCGCUUGUGUGAGCCCCCGUCAAUUCCUUUGAGUUUUAGCCUUGCGACCGUACUUCCCAGGUGGCAGACUUAACAAUUUCGCUCCGACCGCAACGGGGUGUAACCCGCUGCAGUCUAGUCUGCAUCGUUUAGGGCGUGGACUAC